UACGUAGGGGGCUAGCGUUGUCCGGAAUCAUUGGGCGUAAAGCGCGCGUAGGCGGCCAGAUAAGUCCGGUGUGAAAGUCACAGGCUCAACCUGUGAAUGCCGCUGGAAACUGUCUGGCUAGAGUCCGGAAGGGGCGAGUGGAAUUCCUAGUGUAGAGGUGAAAUUCGUAGAUAUUAGGAAGAACACCAGUGGCGAAGGCGGCUCACUGGUCCGGUACUGACGCUGAGGUGCGAAAGCGUGGGGAGCAAACAGG
rnacentral:rRNA from 1 species